UGGAGGGGGAUAACUACUGGAAACGGUAGCUAAUACCGCAUAACGUCGCAAGACCAAAGAGGGGGACCUUCGGGCCUCUUGCCAUCGGAUGUGCCCAGAUGGGAUUAGCUCGUAGGUGAGGUAACGGCUCACCUAGGCGACGAUCCCUAGCUGGUCUGAGAGGAUGACCAGCCACACUGGAACUGAGACACGGUCCAGACUCCUACGGGAGGCAGCAGUGGGGAAUAUUGCACAAUGGGCGCAAGCCUGAUGCAGCCAUGCCGCGUGUAUGAAGAAGGCCUUCGGGUUGUAAAGUACUUUCAGCGGGGAGGAAGGGAGUGAGGUUAAUAACCUCAUUCAUCGACGUUACCCGCAGAAGAAGCACCGGCUAACUCCGUGCCAGCAGCCGCGGUAAUACGGAGGGUGCGAGCGUUAAUCGGAAUUACUGGGCGUAAAGCGCACGCAGGCGGUCUGUCAAGUCGGAUGUGAAAUCCCCGGGCUCAACCUGGGAACUGCAUUCGAAACUGGCAGGCUGGAGUCUUGUAGAGGGGGGUAGAAUUCCAGGUGUAGCGGUGAAAUGCGUAGAGAUCUGGAGGAAUACCGGUGGCGAAGGCGGCCCCCUGGACAAAGACUGACGCUCAGGUGCGAAAGCGUGGGGAGCAAACAGGAUUAGAUACCCUGGUAGUCCACGCUGUAAACGAUGUCGACUUGGAGGUUGUUCCCUUGAGGAGUGGCUUCCGGAG
rnacentral:rRNA from 1 species